AGAAGAAGACUGCAUGCAUGCACAAUUGAAGCUGCUUCGUGAGACAAAGAAGGACGUAGGCUAACUACUUCCAGAAUCCCGAUUUUAAAGCAAUUUGGUGCGCCAUCCAUUUAUCACAAGUUGGCUGUUAUAAAGUUUCCAAACUGACCAAAGACCAACGAAUGACUUCUGAAGAAGGGUGGAUUUAUUUGUAGUUUAGUUCAACAAUAAUUUGCCCCGUCAGUGAUAUGGUUUGAAUGCUGCCUGAACGUUCCGAAUUUGGCAGACACGGUGAGGACAAUGCUGAGGAAAAUUGCCACAAACAAAGUCCUGGAGCAGCUUGGCCUCCGUGGAAAGUCAGGAAAAGUGGCGUUUGAGGACUUGCCCCUUUACAGAAUAAUAAAUAAGGCAUGCAGGGGUGUUUACAAGCAGACGACCACAGCUGAAGUGGAUUGUGAGCUUGGAGACGUCCUGAAACUGGCCACUUUUCGAAAGGGAGGUUCAAAAUUUGAGGAGAAGAGGAGGAAUUAAGAGGGAGGACAAAAAAGGAAAAAGAAACAAGCAAAAGAACAGCGUGAGAUGAGAG